rnacentral:rRNA from 1 species
CAAAGGUUGACCUCGGAUCAGGUAGGAAUACCCGCUGAACUUAAGCAUAUCAAUAAGCGGAGGAA